rnacentral:lncRNA from 1 species
CUGCGCGCUAAGAUGGGAGUAUACGCUAUCUUGAGGCCCAAUCGGGAGUAUACACUGCCCGAACGCUCGGUUUGUGGCUGGUCGAGUGGCUGCUUGCCAAGACACUGCAGAGAGGUUCUUUGUCUGCCUUUAUCCUACUUCGGGACACCUCGUCUGGGGCAUGUUGGAUCUCGGUACGCUGCAAGAGCUAGUUCACCAAAGUCGUCUGCUAUGUGAGGGCGUUCGUCAACUCUAUGACUUGUCGAGACAAGUGUUGUUCUCUAUUUGGGUUGGAAUAGCUUGAAAAGAAUGCGUUUCCUUGAGCAGUAGAAGUGUGGUAGACUCUGGGCGUGAGAUUUGAGUUGGGAAAUGUCAAAUCCAUAGAAAAAUAUGAUGAAAAUGCUCCCGGUUUGA